CCGGCGGACGAAGUUGGCCAGCCCCACCCCCCAUGGCUAUAGCCCACCCGUUUUUGUGGCCAUUUUCCGCCGGACGAACCUGGCACCCCGGCCUUCGGGCGGUUAUUUUUGGGCGCGGCUGUGUCCGCGGCCUAUUUUUGGCCCAAGGAGGGGCCUCGCAAUGUCUCGCGCCAUUCCGAGUCUGGCGGACGAAGUUGGCCAGCCCCACCCCCCAAGGCUAUAGCCCACCCGUUUUUGUGGACUUUUUCCGCUGGACGAACUUGGUGCCCCGGCCCUCGGGGGGUUAUUUUUGGGCGCGGCUGAGCCCGCAGCCUAUUUUUGGCACAUGGAGGCGCCUCGCAAAGUCUCGCGCCAUUCUGGGUCCGGCGGACGAAGUUGGCCAGCCCCACCCCCCAUGGCUAUAGCCCACCCGUUUUUGUGGCCAUUUUCCGCCGGACGAACCUGGCACCCCGGCCUUCGGGCGGUUAUUUUUGGGCGCGGCUGUGUCCGCGGCCUAUUUUUGGCCCAAGGAGGGGCCUCGCAAUGUCUCGCGCCAUUCCGAGUCCGGCGGACGAAGUUGGCCAGCCCCACCCCCCAAGGCUAUAGCCCACCCGUUUUUGUGGACUUUUUCCGCUGGACGAACUUGGUGCCCCAGCCCUCGGGGGUUAUUUUUGGGCGCAGCUGUGCCCGUGGCCUAUUUUUGGCACACGGAGGCGCCUCGCAAAGUCUCGCGCCAUUCGGAGUCCGGCAGACGAAGUUGGCCAGCCCCACCCCCAAAGGCUAUAGCCCACCCGUUUUUGUGGCCUUUUUCCGCUGGACGAACUUGGCGCCCCGGCCUUCGGGCGGUUAUUUUUGGGAGCGGCUGUGCCCGCGGCCUAUUUUUGGCACACAGAGGCACCUCGAAAAGUCUCG
rnacentral:lncRNA from 1 species